rnacentral:tRNA from 1 species
GUAGGCAUAGUUUAAGCAAAACAUUAGAUUGUGAUUCUAAUAAUAGAAGUUGAAAUCCUCUUGCCCACC